GCUCAAGAAACUCAAAGGAAUUGACGGGGGCCCGCACAAGCGGUGGAGCAUGUGGUUUAAUUCGUAAGCAACGCGAAGAACCUUACCAGGCCUUGACAUGCAGAAGAACUUUCCAGAGAUGGAUUGGUGCCUUCGGGAACUCUGACACAGGCGCUGCAUGGCUGUCGUCAGCUCGUGUCGUGAGAUGUUGGGUUAAGUCCCGUAACGAGCGCAACCCUUGUCCUUAGUUACCAGCACGUUAUGGUGGGCACUCUAAGGAGACUGCCGGUGACAAACCGGAGGAAGGUGGGGGAUGACGUCAAGUCAUCAUGGCCCUUACGGCCUGGGCUACACACGUGCUACAAUGGUCGGUACAAAGGGUUGCCAAGCCGCGAGGUGGAGCUAAUCCCAUAAAACCGAUCGUAGUCCGGAUCGCAGUCUGCAACUCGACUGCGUGAAGUCGGAAUCGCUAGUAAUCGUGAAUCAGAAUGUCACGGUGAAUACGUUCCGGGCCUU
rnacentral:rRNA from 1 species